rnacentral:rRNA from 1 species
AUUGAACGCUGGCGGCAGGCCUAACACAUGCAAGUCGAGCGGAUGAAGGGAGCUUGCUCCUGGAUUCAGCGGCGGACGGGUGAGUAAUGCCUAGGAAUCUGCCUGGUAGUGGGGGAUAACGUCCGGAAACGGGCGCUAAUACCGCAUACGUCCUGAGGGAGAAAGUGGGGAAUCUUCGGACCUCACGCUAUCAGAUGAGCCUAGGUCGGAUUAGCUAGUUGGUGGGGUAAAGGCCUACCAAGGCGACGAUCCGUAACUGGUCUGAGAGGAUGAUCAGUCACACUGGAACUGAGACACGGUCCAGACUCCUACGGGAGGCAGCAGUGGGGAAUAUUGGACAAUGGGCGAAAGCCUGAUCCAGCCAUGCCGCGUGUGUGAAGAAGGUCUUCGGAUUGUAAAGCACUUUAAGUUGGGAGGAAGGGCAGUAAGUUAAUACCUUGCUGUUUUGACGUUACCAACAGAAUAAGCACCGGCUAACUUCG